rnacentral:rRNA from 1 species
GUGUCAGCCGCCGCGGUAAGACGUAGGAUGCAAACGUUAUCCGGAAUUACUGGGCGUAAAGAGUUCGUAGGCGAACUGUUAAGUAGAAUGUUAAAGACUUGAGCUCAACUCAAGAAAGUAUUCUAAACUGGCAGAAUAGAGUAUGGUAGGGCAAGUGGAAUUCUGUGUGUAGGGGUGAAAUCCGUAGAUAUACAGAGGAACACCAAAAGCGAAGGCAGCUUGCUGGGCCAUUACUGACGCUCAAGAACGAAAGCGUGGGGAGCAAACAGGAUUAGAUACCCUGGUAGUCCACGCCCUAAACGAUGAUCACUCGAUGUUGGGAACUCGACUUUCUCAGUGUCUAAGCUAACGCGAUAAGUGAUCCGCCUGGGUAGUACGAUCGCAAGAUUGAAACUCAAAUGAAUUGCGG